rnacentral:lncRNA from 1 species
GCACCCCAGCCUGGGCAACAGAGUGAGACUCUGUCUCACUCUGUUGCACAGUUUACAACAACAAAACUAUAGCAUCCAUCACAUAGAGGAGAGACUCCCCAACACACAUAUAAGGAUUACUCUCAGCCCCAGCUCCCUCAAACUUCCUAAGAUCAGCACUGGUAUCUGAUGGUGGCUCCUUGUAAAUCAAACUUAAUGGAGUAUGUGUUAUUUGGUUUAUGUUUAUGUGCAGCCUGCAUAACAACCACUCUGUCAACAUCAUGCAUAUGUUCAUUGUGUUGGUACUAGAAGACUCUAUGACACACACAAGCUGAUGUCAUCUGAUGGGUCUAUUUUAUCUACUUGGCUGUGCAAAUCCUCUUCUGUAGUAUAUGCUUUCUGGUGGACACUAAUAUGGAACACAAAGAUCUUCUCACAUUGCAGCUGCUCCCAUAUAUCCAUUGAUAUAUGCCUCUAACUCCAGACCUUUUUGUCCUUAAUCUUCUAAUCCGGUUAUCUCUUUUCCUUUAGUGCAAUUUUUCCUUAUUUGUUUGUUUUGUUUUUUUUUUUAAGUAAAUAGCUAGGCUUCUAAGCCCUACCACAGAGAGUCAACAGACAAACUGCCCAGGGAAAAGUUAUGACCUCAGGCAAAGUGAAUUUCUACAGCUAAGGCAGAUCCUGAAGAAGCUCACAAAUAAAGGCUGCAUACUCACACAUUCCCUGAAGCUUGACAGUGCCAGCCACCAUACUGUGAGGGAGCUGAAGUAAGCCCACAUGAGGAAGAAUUGAGGUCCCAAGCCAACAGCUGCAGCUAAGAUCCAAGCUCUCAACCAGUACCAGUUCAUCCGUUAUGCACACUAAGAUAUGGAAGCUAAAAGAGGACUAAGAGGAUUCUGGGGAUAUUACAAGAUAUUGCAGACUAUCUUGUUUUCCUGGAAAAGGAUUUUACCUCAGUCGACUGAAUUACUUUUUUCACUGUGUCUUGCCACUCUUCGUGCAUGCAUCAAAGACCCUAAUAUGACUUCUGGUGGCCUGGGACUCCUUGGGAAAACAGAAAAGGGGCCACAAAUCCCAUUUUGGGAACAAUCUGUUUUACUCAUGGAACCCCUGGAAUUAGAGAUACAACUGGAGAAACUGUUCUGUGGAGGCUUUGAGUGGAAGGGUGUGCUUCCCUUUAAGGAAUCAAGCUUGAUUUGCAAAGCCAAUAAAACCCCCUUAAGAAAACUGGCCUCCUACCUGUCUACACAGUCUCUGUACAAGAUUACUGACCUGUGGUGAGCAAAAAAAUGUCACUUUCUAACAGACCUAGGAACUCCAUGCUUCUAAAAUCUCAGGAAGAAAAAAGUUUAUCCAACUCACAGUUAUUUGUAGAUACAAACCCAUGGCUGGGCUUGGUUUUAAAAAGUCCGAUCUGAAAUUCCUUGUGGAACAGAGAGUUCCAUCAAAGCCAAUCAAAAAGGCCUAUAUAGAGGUGAUUAUUCUUGCUUCAUUUUAUGCAAAUAAUCAGGCCAAGUAUACAACUAAAGUUUACUUUGCAAACAGCUAAGUCCUAUCAUAAGUUGUUUUUUAACAAAAUGAGGACUAGAGAGACAGAAAUUAUGUUUCAAAAUUUAUCAUACAUCUGUCAUUGGAUUCAAGUCUCAUUAGUCAUUUUUAAAUUCUUGUCUACAUUUUAAACUAACCAUGCUAAUUCUUGUAAUCCAACCACAUCUCCAGCUGUGGCUCAAACAAAACAGAAAGUGAUAGGUAAUGUAAAAAUCUCGAACAAUGUUCUGGCUGGGCAAUUAUCCUAUAAAUCUUGCUAGGUAGCCUAUAACCCCAAGGUUUUCUUUUUUUGGGAAAGUAAGAUCAAGAAAGUUUAAAAAAGCCUAGCCCCAUACACUCACUUAAAACAGCACAACCCAUCUAAAUGGCUUACAGGUAUCAAAUAAACUCUGUUGUCAUGGUUAUGGCCUAUAGUGCCCCCACUAAUAAUGGUAGUCUUAAUACUCAUAUUUUAACCCUAUAUUCUAAACCUCCUUGUAAAGUUUACUUCUUCUCACCUAGAAACCAUCAAGCUUUAAAUGGUGUGGCAAAAGGAGCUGAAAAUUAAACUGACCUUCUACUGCAUACCCUUAAAUUGACCCAGGAGGAGCCCUAGCUGCUAUUCCCAUGCCACGCCCCUCUCCAGCAGGAAGUAGCCAGAGUAAGUCGACGCCCAAUUCCCCGUAACAGCAGUUAGGAAUUUCAUUCCUGAGGGGGGUGUUUGUUAUAGGAGAUAAAAAUAAAUUAUUUGGGUAGACAGAGUAAAGAGAGUCCCCGGCAGAAUACUUUCCUUCUAACAAAAAGCAGCUCAGAAAUGGCUCCCUUUCUAACCUUGUGAAGUUCAAAGAAAUCAUUUCUCUUCUAACAAAGAACAACCUGAAAGGCUGUAAAAACACAG